CGCUCUGGUGGCCUAGUGGUUAGAGCGUCCGCCGCGGAUCCGAGAGGUCGUGGGUUUGAUCCCCGUUCGAGUCA